rnacentral:rRNA from 1 species
UACGUAGGGGGCAAGCGUUGUCCGGAAUUAUUGGGCGUAAAGAGCUCGUAGGCGGCUCGUCGCGUCGACCGUGAAAACCCGCGGCUUAACUGCGGGCUUGCGGUUGAUACGGGCGGGCUAGAGUUCGGUAGGGGAGACUGGAAUUCCUGGUGUAGCGGUGAAAUGCGCAGAUAUCAGGAGGAACACCGGUGGCGAAGGCGGGUCUCUGGGCCGAUACUGACGCUGAGGAGCGAAAGCGUGGGGAGCGAACAGG